rnacentral:rRNA from 1 species
AUUGAACGCUGGCGGAAUGCUUUACACAUGCAAGUCGAACGGCGGCACGGACUUCGGUCUGGUGGCGAGUGGCGAACGGGUGAGUAAUGUAUCGGAACGUGCCCAGUCGUGGGGGAUAACGUAGUGAAAUUUACGAUAAUACCGCAUACGAUCCAUGGCUGAAAGCGGGGGAUCGCAAGACCGCGCGCGAUUGGAGCGGCCGAUAUCAGAUUAGGUAGUUGGUGGGGUAAAGGCCCACCAAGCCAACGAUCUGUAGCUGGUCUGAGAGGACGACCAGCCAGACUGGAACGGAGACACGGUCCAGACUCCUACGGGAGGCAGCAGUGGGGAAUUUUGGACAAUGGGCGAAAGCCUGAUCCAGCCAUUCCGCGUGCAGGAUGAAGGCCCUCGGGUUGUAAACUGCUUUUGUACAGAACGAAAAGGUUUCUACUAAUACUAGGAGCUCAUGACGGUACUGUAAGAAUAAGCACCGGCUAACUACGUGCCAGCCGCCGCAGUAA